rnacentral:RNase_P_RNA from 1 species
GCAGGGGAUGACCGACCGCCCGGCGCAAUUUGUCGCCGGGAGGAAAGUCCGGACUCCAUAGGGCUGGAUGCCCCGUGGUUAACGCGGGGAAGGUGUUGCCAUACCGACACCGAUGGAUAGUGCCACAGAAACAAACCGCCACAUGGCUCAGCCGUGCGGUAAGGGUGAAAAGGUGGUGUAAGAGACCACCGGGAGGUUGCGUGAGCGCCUCUGCCAGGUAAACCCCAUCCGGAGCAAGGCCAAAUAGGGAGUGAAGGUGCGGCCCGUACCGCCCGGCAUACGCCGGAUAACUCCGGGUUGGCUGCUUAGACGAAUGGUCGGACAGUGCCGUCUGGCACCGACAGAAUCCGGCUUAUGACUCCCCUGCAAGG